rnacentral:rRNA from 1 species
AGAGUUUGAUCCUGGCUCAGGAUGAACGCUGGCGGCGUGCUUAACACAUGCAAGUCGAACGUGAUGGGGAUUUCGAUUCCCUGAAAGUGGCGAACGGGUGAGUAACACGUAGGUGACCUGCCCCGAGGUGGGGGACAACCAUUAGAAACGAUGGCUAAUACCCCGUAGUCCUGCUGACGUUGGUGGUUGGCAGGUAAAGCUCCGGCGCCUUGGGAGGGGCCUGCGGUCGAUUAGCUAGUUGGUGGGGUAACGGCCCACCGAGGCGAUGAUCGAUAGUUGGUCUGAGAGGACGAUCAGCCACACUGGGACUGAGACACGGCCCAGACUCCUACGGGGGGCAGCAGUGAGGAAUAUUGGACAAUGGGCGCAAGCCUGAUCCAGCAACGCCGCGUGGAGGAUGAAGGUUUUCGAAUUGUAAACUCCUUUUCUGGGGGAAGAGCAAGGACGGUACCUCAGGAAUAAGUCACGGCUAACUACGUGCCAGCAGCCGCGGUAAUACGUAGGUGGCUAGCGUUAUCCGGAAUUACUGGGCGUAAAGCGCGCGCAGGCGGUCAACCAAGUCUGACGUGAAAGCUCCUGGCUUAACUGGGAGAGGUCGUUGGAAACUAGUUGGCUUGAGGCAGUGAGAGGGGUGCGGAAUUCCCGGUGUAGUGGUGGAAUGCGUAGAUAUCGGGAGGAACACCAGUGGCGAAAGCGGCACCCCGGCACUGACCUGACGCUCAUGUGCGAAAGCGUGGGUAGCGAACGGGAUUAGAUACCCCGGUAGUCCACGCUGUAAACGAUGAGUACUAGGUGUAGGUGGUAUCGACCCCAUCUGUGCCGAAGCAAACGCGAUAAGUACUCCGCCUGGGGACUACGGCCGCAAGGCUAAAACUCAAAGGAAUUGACGGGGACCCGCACAAGCAGCGGAGCGUGUGGUUUAAUUCGAUGCGACGCGAAGAACCUUACCUGGGUUUGACAUGCAUGUAGUAGUGAAGCGAAAGCGGAACGACCCUUCGGGGAGCGUGCACAGGUGUUGCAUGGCUGUCGUCAGCUCGUGUCGUGAGAUGUUGGGUUAAGUCCCGCAACGAGCGCAACCCUCGUCGUUAGUUACAAGUGUCUAGCGAGACUGCCGAUUUCAAGUCGGAGGAAGGUGAGGACGACGUCAAGUCAGCAUGACCUUUAUACCCAGGGCUACACACACGCUACAAUGGGCGGUACAAUGGGCAGCGAAAGGGUGACCUGAAGCUAAUCUCAUCAAAGCCGUUCGUAGUUCGGAUUGGAGUCUGCAACCCGACUUCAUGAAGGUGGAAUCGCUAGUAAUCGCGCAUCAGCCAUGGCGCGGUGAAUACGUUCCCGGACCUUGUACACACCGCCCGUCAAGCCAUGGGAGCCGGGGGUACCUGAAGACGGUGACUUUACAGGGAGCUGUCUAGGGUAAAACUGGUGACUGGGGCUAAGUCGUAACAAGGUAACCGUA